AACGCGAAGAACCUUACCUACCCUUGACAUCCCUGGAACCUAGGUUAAGCGCCUGGGGUGCCUUCGGGAACCAGGAGACAGGUGCUGCAUGGCUGUCGUCAGCUCGUGUCGUGAGAUGUUGGGUUAAGUCCCGUAACGAGCGCAACCCUUAUCCUUAGUUGCCAGCACGUAAAGGUGGGGACUCUAAGGAGACUGCCGGUGACAAACCGGAGGAAGGUGGGGACGAGGUCAAGUCAUCAUGGCCUUUAUGGGUAGGGCUACACACGUGCUACAAUGGGGUGGAACAGAGGGGAGCGAGAGCGCGAGCUUUAGCAAAUCCUAUAAAACACCUCGUAGUCCGGAUUGGAGUCUGCAACUCGACUCCAUGAAGUUGGAAUCGCUAGUAAUCGCCGAUCAGCAUGCGGCGGUGAAUACGUUCCCGGGCCUUGUACACACCGCGUGUCU
rnacentral:rRNA from 1 species